rnacentral:rRNA from 1 species
AUUGAACGCUGGCGGCAGGCCUAACACAUGCAAGUCGAACGGUAACAGGAAGCAGCUUGCUGCUUUGCUGACGAGUGGCGGACGGGUGAGUAAUGUCUGGGAAACUGCCUGAUGGAGGGGGAUAACUACUGGAAACGGUAGCUAAUACCGCAUAACGUCGCAAGACCAAAGAGGGGGACCUUCGGGCCUCUUGCCAUCGGAUGUGCCCAGAUGGGAUUAGCUUGUUGGUGGGGUAACGGCUCACCAAGGCGACGAUCCCUAGCUGGUCUGAGAGGAUGACCAGCCACACUGGAACUGAGACACGGUCCAGACUCCUACGGGAGGCAGCAGUGGGGAAUAUUGCACAAUGGGCGCAAGCCUGAUGCAGUCAUGCCGCGUGUAUGAAGAAGGCCUUCGGGUUGUAAAGUACUUUCAGCGGGGAGGAAGGGAGUAAAGUUAAUACCUUUACUCAUUGACGUUACCCGCAGAAGAAGCACCGGCUAACUCCGUG